CAACUUUUAACAAUGGAUCUCUUGGUUCUCGCAUCGAUGAAGAACGUAGCAAAGUGCGAUAACUAGUGUGAAUUGCAUAUUCGUGAAUCAUCGAGUCUUGAACGCAGCUUGCACUCUAUGGAUCUUCUAUAGAGUACGCUUGCUUCAGUAUCAUA
rnacentral:rRNA from 1 species